UACGUAGGGGGCAAGCGUUGUCCGGAAUCAUUGGGCGUAAAGAGCGUGUAGGCGGCCCGGUAAGUCCGCUGUGAAAGUCAAAGGCUCAACCUUUGAAUGUCAGCGGAUACUGCCGGGCUAGAGUCCAGAAGAGGCGAGUGGAAUUCCUGGUGUAGCGGUGGAAUGCGCAGAUAUCAGGAGGAACACCAACGGCGAAGGCAGCUCGCUAGGACGGUACUGACGCUGAGACGCGAAAGCGUGGGGAGCAAACAGG
rnacentral:rRNA from 1 species